AGAGUUUGAUCCUGGCUCAGGACGAACGCUGGCGGCGUGCCUAACACAUGCAAGUCGAACGGACCCGCAAGGGUCAGUGGCAAACGGGUGCGUAACACGUGAGGAACCUGUCCAACGGCGGGGGAUAGCCGGCCCAACGGCCGGGUAAUACCGCGUACGACCUUCGGGGGGCAUCCCCUGGAGGUGAAAGCAGCAAUGCGCCGAUGGAGGGCCUCGCGGCCUAUCAGCUAGUUGGUGAGGUCACGGCUCACCAAGGCUACGACGGGUAGCUGGUCCGAGAGGAUGACCAGCCACAUUGGGACUGAGACACGGCCCAGACUCCUACGGGAGGCAGCUGUGGGGAAUAUUGCGCAAUGGGCGAAAGCCUGACGCAGCGACGCCGCGUGUGGGAUGAAGGUCUUCGGAUUGUAAACCACUGUCGGGAGGGACGAAGCUCUGACGGUACCUCCAAAGGAAGCACCGGCUAACUCUGUGCCAGCAGCCGCGGUAAUACAGAGGGUGCAAGCGUUGUCCGGAAUCACUGGGCGUAAAGGGCGCGUAGGCGGCUUGGUAAGUAGGGGGUGAAAUUCUGCGGCUCAACCGCAGGACUGCCUCCUAAACUGCCUGGCUUGAGCACGGUAGAGGCUGGUGGAAUUCCCGGUGUAGCGGUGGAAUGCGUACUGAUCGGGAAGAACAUCGGUGGCGAAGGCGGCCAGCUGGGCCGUUGCUGACGCUGAGGCGCGACAGCGUGGGGAGCAAACAGGAUUAGAUACCCUGCUAGUCCACGCCGUAAACUAUGGGUACUAGGCGUCGGGGGGAAUCGACCCCUUCUGUGCCGUUGUUUAAUUUUAAAUAACUU
rnacentral:rRNA from 1 species